GGUGUCGUGUCCUGCUAGGUGUCGUGUCCUGCUAGGUGUCGUGUCCUGCUUGGUGUCGUGUCCUGCUUGGUGUCGUGUCCUGCUUGGGGCCGUGUCCUGCUAGGUAUCGUGUCCUGCUUGGUGCCGUGUCCUGCUAGGUGUCGUGUCCUGCUAGGUGUCGUGUCCUGCUUGGUGUCGUGUCCUGCUAGGUGUCGUGUCCUGCUUGGUGUCGUGUCCUGCUUGGUGUCGUGUCCUGCUAGGUGUCGUGUCCUGCUAGGCGUCGUGUCCUGCUAGGCGUCGUGUCCUGCUAGGCGUCGUGUCCUGCUAGGCGUCGUGU
ensembl:lncRNA